rnacentral:rRNA from 1 species
AUUCCAGCUCCAAUAGCGUAUAUUAAUGUUGUUGCAGUUAAAAAGCUCGUAGUUGGAUUUCUGGUCGGAACGCCGGUCCGGCUCCGCAAGGGGUCGUGUAUUGGUUUCUCCUGCCAUCCUCAGGGGGAGCUGCGCUGGUAUUCAUUUAUCGGCGUGGUUACGCCUGUCGUUUACUGUGAACAAAUUAGAGUGUUCAAAGCAAGGUGUACUUGAAUACAUUAGCAUGGAAUAAUAAGAUAGGACCUGAGUUCUAUUUUGUUGGUUUCUAGAGCUGAGGUAAUGAUUAAUAGGGAUAGUUGGGGGCAUUCGUAUUUAACAGUCAGAGGUGAAAUUCUUGGAUUUGUUAAAGACGGACUACUGCGAAAGCAUUUGCCAAGGAUGUUUUCAUCA